CCCGCCCCAGAAGAGCUGCAGGUGCGGCUGCAUGCCAACAGGUGGCAGAGGAGAGCGAGGCUCUGUCUACGCUCAGUGUUCUGACUUGUGAACAUCUGAAUGAUUAGUAGCCUAACAUU
rnacentral:snoRNA from 1 species